GACGAACGCUGGCGGCGUGCCUAAUACAUGCAAGUCGAACGCAUUUUCUUUCACCGUAGCUUGCUACACCGAAAGAAAAUGAGUGGCGAACGGGUGAGUAACACGUGGGUAACCUGCCCAUCAGCGGGGGAUAACACUUGGAAACAGGUGCUAAUACCGCAUAAUUCCAUUUACCGCAUGGUAGAUGGGUGAAAGGCGCUUUUGCGUCACUGAUGGAUGGACCUGCGGUGCAUUAGCUAGUUGGUGGGGUAACGGCCUACCAAGGCUGCGAUGCAUAGCCGACCUGGGAGGGGGGUCGGCCACACUGGGACUGAGACACGGCCCAGACUCCUACGGGAGGCAGCAGUAGGGAAUCUUCGGCAAUGGACGCAAGUCUGACCGAGCAACGCCGCGUGAGUGAAGAAGGUUUUCGGAUCGUAAAACUCUGUUGUUAGAGAAGAACAAGGAUGAGAGUGGAAAGUUCAUCCCUUGACGGUAUCUAACCAGAAAGCCACGGCUAACUACGUG
rnacentral:rRNA from 1 species